GAUGAACGCUGGCGGCGUGCUUAACACAUGCAAGUCGAGCGAAGCACUUUACUUGGAUUUCUUCGGAAUGACGAGUAUUGUGACUGAGCGGCGGACGGGUGAGUAACGCGUGGGUAACCUGCCUCAUACAGGGGGAUAACAGUUAGAAAUGACUGCUAAUACCGCAUAAGACCACAGCACCGCAUGGUGCAGGGGCAAAAACUCCGGUGGUAUGAGAUGGACCCGCGUCUGAUUAGCUAGUUGGUGGGGUAACGGCCUACCAAGGCAACGAUCAGUAGCCGGCCUGAGAGGGCGACCGGCCACAUUGGGACUGAGACACGGCCCAAACUCCUACGGGAGGCAGCAGUGGGGAAUAUUGCACAAUGGGGGAAACCCUGAUGCAGCGACGCCGCGUGAAGGAAGAAGUAUUUCGGUAUGUAAACUUCUAUCAGCAGGGAAGAAAAUGACGGUACCUGACUAAGAAGCCCCGGCUAACUACGUGCCAGCCGCCGCAGUAA
rnacentral:rRNA from 1 species